rnacentral:rRNA from 1 species
UACGGGGGGAGCAAGCGUUGUUCGGAUUUACUGGGCGUAAAGGGCGCGUAGGCGGCCACUGCAAGUCAGUUGUGAAAUCUCCGGGCUUAACCCGGAAAGGUCAACUGAUGACUGCAGGGCUAGAGUGCAGAAGGGGCAACUGGAAUUCUCGGUGUAGCGGUGAAAUGCGUAGAUAUCGAGAGGAACACCUGCGGCGAAGGCGGGUUGCUGGGCUGACACGUGACGCUGAGGCGCGAAAGCCAGGGGAGCGAACGGG